CUGCCGAUGAUGACGUGACCACUGCGCAAUCUGAGAUCUGGGACCCAGGUGAUGGAGAUUGCUGAGCUCCCGCUGAGGCCG